rnacentral:rRNA from 1 species
GAUGAACGCUGGCGGCGUGCCUAAUACAUGCAAGUCGAGCGAAUGGAUUAAGAGCUUGCUCUUAUGAAGUUAGCGGCGGACGGGUGAGUAACACGUGGGUAACCUGCCCAUAAGACUGGGAUAACUCCGGGAAACCGGGGCUAAUACCGGAUAACAUUUUGAACCGCAUGGUUCGAAAUUGAAAGGCGGCUUCGGCUGUCACUUAUGGAUGGACCCGCGUCGCAUUAGCUAGUUGGUGAGGUAACGGCUCACCAAGGCAACGAUGCGUAGCCGACCUGAGAGGGUGAGAGGCCACACUGGGACUGAGACACGGCCCAGACUCAUACGGGAGGCAGCAGUAGGGAAUCUUCCGCAAUGGACGAAAGUCUGACGGAGCAACGCCGCGUGAGUGAUGAAGGCUUUCGGGUCGUAAAACUCUGUUGUUAGGGAAGAACAAGUGCUAGUUGAAUAAGCUGGCACCUUGACGGUACCUAACCAGAAAGCCACGGCUAACUACGUGCCAGCCGCCGCGGUAA